UACAGAGGUCUCAAGCGUUGUUCGGAUUCAUUGGGCGUAAAGGGUGUGUAGGUGGCGCCGUAAGUCGGGUGUGAAAUUUCGGAGCUUAACUCCGAAACUGCAUUCGAUACUGCGGUGCUUGAGGACUGGAGAGGAGACUGGAAUUCAUGGUGUAGCAGUGAAAUGCGUAGAUAUCAGGAGGAACACCGAUGGCGAAGGCAGAUCUCUGGGCCGUAACUGACGCUGAGGAGCGAAAGCGUGGGGAGCGAACAGG
rnacentral:rRNA from 1 species